ensembl:lincRNA
AUGCUCUGCUCGCCAUGCCGAGGCAGGUGGCCCCAGCUGCCAAAGAAGGCCCUUGAAACAGUCGUUGACCCCGAGGCUCUCUGUGCCUCACACCCAAAGAAAGCAGCUCGACCAGACCCCUCCCCACAGCAGGUCCCAGUGCCGCUGCGUGGUGGCUGCACGGAAGCAGGACCCUUGAGGACCCGGGAGCCGGGCUCCAGAGGUACGGUUUGCCCCCUUUCGGGGGUGACAGCCCGAGCUACAGAGCAGCGGCGUCCGGGCUCCACUCACCUCCGGGCUCCGGCCACCGCUCACCUCCUGCUUCUGUCCUUCCCAGCCUUCUCCACAUCCCCAACGUCCCCAAUGACCUGGUGCUGGCUUUCCUGAGGUACCAAGACCAGUGGGUCAAAUGGAACCGAAUGGGCGUCGACGUGUCCCAGCGCCACUUUUCUGGACCCUUUUGUCUCUUCCCAGAGGCAUGGUGGUGUGUCAAGCGCUCCACGAUGCAGCAGGAGCUCUGCGCUCAGCUCCCUGGGCGCCUGCGGGGGAGGACAGCUCUUGCCCGGGCAAUCGUCCCAGGCGGUCACCAGCCCAAGCCCCGGCCCGCCCUCUGGAGCUAACAGGUAUGUCAGGGAGAGCUGACGCGAAACGCCCCGGGAAAGCUGUGGGGGUCCCCGGGGGAGGAGGGCGUUUGGGCAGGGAUGACCCUCUGGCUCCGGGUUUGCGUUCACCAGCAUUUGACAGCCCUUAGCUCUGGACUUCUCCCAAGCACCCAGGAGGGGGUGCUGUCAUCACCUGCGUUUAGAGGUGCAGGUGUGGAAACCGGCUGGAGGUCACACAGGUAAGGCCCUGGCAGCCUGACCUCGGGCCCCGAGGAGCCCCUUCUCUACACCAACCGUGAAGAGGAAGGCGGCUUUUGGGGAGGGGACCAUGGUGGACGGGGGAGAAUUUGCGUCUUGAUUUUCAAUUUGUUAUUUUUUUUAAGAUUUAUUUUAUUUUAUUUUUUAUUUCUCUCUCCUCCCCCCCCAGUUGUCUGCUCUCUGUGUCCAUUUGCUGUGUGUUCUUCUGUGACUGCUUCUAUCCUUAUCAGCGGCACGGGAAUCUGUGUUUCUUUUUGUUGUGUCAUCUUGUGUCAGCUCUCCGUGUGUGCAGCGCCAUUCCUGGGCAGGCUGCACUUUCUUUGGCGCUGGGCGGCUCUCCUUACGGGGCGCACUCCUUACACGUGGGGCUCCCCUAUGCGGGGGACACCCCUGUGUGGCGUGGCACUCCUUGCGCCAUCAGCACUGCGCAUGGGCCAGCUCCACACGGGUCAAGGAGGCCCGGGGUUUGAACCACGGACUUCCAAUGUGGUAGGUGGACACCCUAUCCAUUGGGCCAAGUCCAUUUCCCCUUGAUUUUCAAUUUGAAAAGCAAGGUCCAGCGUGCAGCAUGUGCCAGCUUAGAUGGGGCACUGAAACAGGGCUUGAGAGGAAGGUGUGACGUGGGGAUUUUUUUUCUCACAGUGUGGCCAGGGUUAAGGGACACGCAGGAGGAAGGGAGCUGAGGCCUGGCCAGGAGUGCUGGGGCGGGGUGGCUCUGACCUGAGGCCUGAACCUGCAGCGCGGGAGCUGUCCCUGGAGUCCAGUGACAGCCUGUGGAAAGGGCUCCUGGCAGGAACUGGCCUCGGUAGUGGGGACGUCGGCCCUGGGACCCCUCAGGUAGGUGGCUGGGGAAUAAACACCCCACUCCCAUUUGCCUCCCUUCCCUUGAUGGUCUGCCUUGAACUGGCCAGGCUCAACCAGAAGGCAGAGGGAAGGGAGCCUCACAAGCUAGCCGCAGAGGUCCGCUGCCCAGGGCCCAGGGCGCGGCAGAGCAAGGGGAGGAAUUCUGGAGAAGGAAGUGGAAACUGUCCAGCAUGUGACUAUUUGUGCGAAAAAUGAGGUGGAGAGAUUCCUGUCUAUCUCUGUAUAGAUCAGGGAGUAUGCUUAGAGAUGCACAAAUUAAUUCUGUAAUGAUACCCAGUGAUAGAAACUUCUGAAAAGGACAAGUGAGGACAAGGCCACCAGUGUUCAUUGUGUCACUUUUUUUCUUACUUGAGUUUUACUCUGUGCGUUUAUUACCUAUUCAAUCCAUCCACCAAUCAUUAGCAAGAAUUGGUGCUCAAGUUCUUUGGGCUUGGGUUGGAGGCAAUACGGGUAAGCGUGUUCCCUAGGUUAAACCGAUUAGCAUUCCUCUCCUGCCCACAGUGAUUUGUCCGCAUGACCUAGGCUCGACCAAUCACAGCCUUCCCUGAGGCUUUUCAGCCUGGAGUUGGGAGGGAGUGGUCCUCUUUUUUUUUUUUUUUAAUCCUCCCCUUGUGACUUUUUUUGCGUGCUGUCUGUUCUCUGUGUCCAUUUGCUGUGCACUCUUCUGUGUUUUUUGCUUGUCUCCCUUUUUGGUUGUGUCACCUUGCUGAGUCAGCACUCUGCUGUGCUUGUGGGCUGGGCGGCUCUCUGCAGCGUGCAGGCGAAACUGUCUUCACAAGGAGGCCCCGGGACGCGAACCCAGAGCCUCCCAUAUGGUAGACGGGAGCCCAGCUGAUUGAGCCACAGCCGCUUCCUGGUCCUCUUCUUUUUCCUCUGGUUAAGGUCCGUUAGGUUGUAUGUGUAGAGCUGUAGGCAGCCAUAAUAGUAACCAACAUGUACAUGAUACAUGCUAUUAAUUGAAACCUGUAGGUUACCAAUAUUCUCCAUUUCUCAUCUCCCAAGUGAUAAUUUAAUCAAGUUUGACCUAAUCCAUGCCAGGUACUCAAAGAGAAGGACUCAACAGGCCAAGUACACCAGGAGCUGGCGAUCUUGGGGCCAUCUUGGAAUUCUGCCUGCUUUCCCUACCUUAACUCAUGUGACCUUCACACAGCACUCUAUCAGGGGUAUUAUUACGAUUAACCCCAUACUGUCCAGACAGUGACUGAGGAUGAGAGAGGUCAAGCAACUUGCCCAUCACCACAUGGCGGGGCCCUGGCAUCCAUGCUCCCUCUACUUUCCCUGUGUCCCGAUGGUGGGGAAGGCUAUCUGCCUCAAGAGGGGUGACACAGGAGAGGCUGAGCAGCAGGGCCCUGGAGGCAUGUGCUUUCCUGGUUCUGGUCCUUUCCAAAGGCAGCACCUUUGGGGAGGAUUUGAGGGGGAUGGGAGUGAAAAAGAAGUGAGGGAAUCUGUGAUACUUUGUAAUUGGAUGGACCCCAGGAAAUCAUGUCCUUCAGACAAAUCCAUUCCUGUGUGUGUGUGGGACCUUUUGACUAGGUUACUCCAAUAGGGCAUGGCCCAGGGUGGAUCUUAAUCCUCUUACUGGAAUCCUUUGUAAGUGGGAUGAAUACAGAGAGAGGGACCUAUAGGAGCUGAGAGAAAGCCAGAGGAAGCCAUGCGCUGAAAGCAACGAGACCCGGAAGAGAAGGGAGAGAGCACAGAUGCUGUAUGUGCCUUGCCAUGUGAGAGAGGGGUCCAGGAUCGCUGGCAGCUGGUUUUUGGGGAGAAAAGCAUCACCCGAUGAAACAUCCAUUUGGACAUUUUCAUGGCCUCUAAGUUAAUAAAUUCACAUUGUAAAAGCCAAUUCACUUCUGGUAUAUUGCAUUUGGCAGUCUAGCAGACUAAAACAGAAGCUUAACAUCUAGAUUUCUAGAUUGGGGAGAAGAUAGGCCUGCUCUAGAUAAAUUUUCAUAAGAUUUUCUAUGGGUCUCUGUGGUAGGCAGUAUUCUAAGAUGGUGCCCAAAAUUCCUGCCCCUCCCUCCCUUCCAGCAGCAUACACAUCCUGCAUAAUCCUUUCUUCCUGAGUGUGUG